CGUUGAGAAGUUCGUUGUGCAAAUCAAUGCAUCUUGAAGUCAAACCUUAUUAAUAGCAUAUAAGAGUAAAUAAUUAGAAAAGUAAUAAAAUCAUUUUGGAGUUAUAUAACUUUAGUAGGCUGAACCGAAAUAAUAAUAAAAAAGAGUGAUAGAAAAGAGUACUGUAAAGGAAAGGUGAAAUAAAUUGAAAAGAGAGUUAAUGAAAAGUAAUAAUAAAAAUUUGUACCUUGUGUAUUAGGGAAAAUCAAAAUUAAUUUACUAUUAAAAGAAUCCCGAAAAAAGAAGAGCUAAUAUAAUCUGGUAGUUUUCGUCUUAAUGAAAUUACGAAGUUUAUAUUAGUAGUGAAAUGCUAAACGAUUCUUUAUAUCUGGUUGUUAGCGAAUUAAAUUAAAUUUAGUUGUUUUGGUCGGUGUAAGUAAACUGAAAAAUAAAAAAGAGCAGGAGGGAAGAGCUUCUUGUUCUAACAUAAAGAUACUAUAAUAUAAUCUAUAAAUAUCAUUGAAUUAGGCUUGAAAACAGCUAUAUU
rnacentral:rRNA from 1 species